rnacentral:lncRNA from 1 species
GCAUCUUCUCCUUUUUUCUCACCAUUCUAGAAUUCUCUGAGUUUUUUGAGCUUAGAGCAGAGUUUCUCAAGAGCUGCAAUACUGGCAUUUGAGUCAAGUCGUUCUUUAUUGUUGGUGGUGGAGGGGGCACCCUGUAUAUUGUAGGACGUUGGGCAGCAUCUCUGACUUCUACCUACUAGAUGCCAGUAUCUCAGUUUUCUUAAAAGACUUUUUUUUUUUUUUUUUUUUUUUUGAGAUGGAGUCUUGCUGUGUUGCCUAGGCUGGAGUGCAGUGGCACCAUGUCGACUCACUGCAACCUCCGCCUCCCCGGUUCAAGCGAUUCUCCUGCCUCAGCCUCCUGAGUAGCUGGGAUUACAGGUGAGCACCACCAUGCCCAGCUAAUCGUAAAAGACUUUUCAUAAAACUUCAGAACUCCUUAAAAACUAGUGAAUAGCCAAGGUGAAGAAAGCCCUCAGGCUUCUGACUUUAGACCCCAAUCCCUGGGACUCCCACACUCAGCAAAGAAAGCUGGGUGCCUGCACCCUGGAUCUCUGAGCAAACCUGUCUUAUGGCUGUGGGCAACUCAGGAACAUGAAUUAGCACGAGAAUCUGGAGUUUUUCUUUCCUUUUCUGGGUCUCACUCUGUCACCCAGGCUGGAGUGCAGUGGCGCAGUCAUGGCUCCCUGUAACCUCAACCUCUCAGACUCCAGCAAUCCUCCUGCGACAGGGAGGCAGUCAAUGGUGAAUGCUGGCCUCGCUGAUUACUCACCUGGAGACCUUUCUGAGGAUCAGUUUUCUCAUCUAGAAAAUGGGACAACUGCCAGACCACUGAAGAAAAUACAGAAAACAGCCCCACACAUCAGCAUGUUUGGUUGCUGCCAGUCUACUUGGAUCUGAGUAUUUUUUCUUGCCAUGAAUGUGACGUGAUUAUCUUCUCCUACAUCACACUGAAGUUUUAUGAAUGAUGCUUUGAAGUGGGAAGGGCCAGAGAGUUAAUAUUUUCGGCUUCUUGGGCCAGCUGGUCUCGGUGGCAGCUACUGAGCUCUGCCACUGCAGCAGAGAACGGGCACAGGCGAUAUGGAAAUGAUAGGCGCGGCUGUGUUCCAAUAAAACUUUAUUUACAAAAAUGGGCAGUAGACCAGAUUUGGUCUGUGUCUUAGAGUUUGCUGACCCUGCUUUAAAGAAACAUCAAAGAGAUUCUACCAGCUGAUUUCCUUGCUCCCAAAAUUCUUGUAAGGACUAUGGCUGAGUUAGGAAGUUAUGUACUUUAAUAGCUAAUUUCAGGCCUGGCGUGGUGGCUCACGCCUGUAAUCCCAGCACUUCGGGAGGCUGAGGUGGGUGGAUCACUUGAGGUCAGGAGUUUCAGAC